rnacentral:miRNA from 1 species
UAAAAUAUUGGUUUAGUUUUU